UACGUAGGGUGCAAGCGUUAAUCGGAAUUACUGGGCGUAAAGCGUGCGCAGGCGGUUUUGUAAGACAGAGGUGAAAUCCCCGGGCUCAACCUGGGAAUUGCAUUUGUGACUGCACGGCUAGAGUGUGUCAGAGGGGGGUAGAAUUCCACGUGUAGCAGUGAAAUGCGUAGAGAUGUGGAGGAAUACCGAUGGCGAAGGCAGCCCCCUGGGUUAGUACUGACGCUCAUGCACGAAAGCGUGGGGAGCAAACAGG
rnacentral:rRNA from 1 species